rnacentral:rRNA from 1 species
GAAUUCACUAGUGAUUUGGCGGCGUGGUUAAGACAUGCAAGUCGAACGAGAGAAUUGCUAGCUUGCUAAUAAUUCUCUAGUGGCGCACGGGUGAGUAACACGUGAGUAACCUGCCCCCGAGAGCGGGAUAGCCCUGGGAAACUGGGAUUAAUACCGCAUAGUAUCGAAAGAUUAAAGCAGCAAUGCGCUUGGGGAUGGGCUCGCGGCCUAUUAGUUAGUUGGUGAGGUAACGGCUCACCAAGGCGAUGACGGGUAGCCGGUCUGAGAGGAUGUCCGGCCACACUGGAACUGAGACACGGUCCAGACACCUACGGGUGGCAGCAGUCGAGAAUCAUUCACAAUGGGGGAAACCCUGAUGGUGCGACGCCGCGUGGGGGAAUGAAGGUCUUCGGAUUGUAAACCCCUGUCAUGUGGGAGCAAAUUAAAAAGAUAGUACCACAAGAGGAAGAGACGGCUAACUCUGUGCCAGCAGCCGCGGUAAUACAGAGGUCUCAAGCGUUGUUCGGAAUCACUGGGCGUAAAGCGUGCGUAGGCUGUUUCGUAAGUCGUGUGUGAAGGGCGCGGGCUCAACCCGCGGACGGCACAUGAUACUGCGAGACUAGAGUAAUGGAGGGGGAACCGGAAUUCACGGUGUAGCAA